ensembl:lncRNA
ACAGACAUCUAAACCUUUGGGAUUCUGUGCAUCUAAUGGACACUUUACUAUCCAAUGAGGCCAUGGGAGACAAGUUGUGAGCAGCAGUGACGCAAUGAAAUAUUCAGAAGAGAGAAAAUGCAAGGCAUGACUCAGUGAGGAUUCUUCGCCAUGCCUCAUUACAAGAGCAGAGGGCAGAGUGAUCAGAGCCUCAGGGUGUAACGUGCGCCUGCCGUCUGCUGCCGCCGCUAUCGUCUUUGACUACACAGAGCUCACUGCCACUGCAGACGGUGACUGUGGUUAACUCUUCACGGUUACACACACAAAUAGCCUAAAGGAGCCAGAUCUGCACCUGCUCUUCUCUUUACCCUAGGCAAACACUUGCAGGAG